GACGAGAGGGCAAGUGUUGUCCGGAAUCAUGUGGCGUAAAGCGUCUGUAGGUGGUCAAAUAAGUCAACUGUUAAAUCUUGAGGCUUAACCUCAAAAUCGCAGUCGAAACUAUUAGACUAGAGUAUAGUAGGGGUAAAGGGAAUUUCCAGUGGAGCGGUGAAAUGCGUAGAUAUCAUUUGGAACGCCAAUAGGUGAAAAACAGGUAGCUGGGGCUGUGCUGACGCUGAGACACGAAAGCCAGGGGAGCAAACGGG
rnacentral:rRNA from 1 species